UUUUUUUGUUACAAUGUUAGCCACCAAAAACGGUGGUGCACUGGGCUGAGUGGGGUGUGAAUUACAUGAAUGUAUUAGGCCCGAAGCUUAUUGAUCCAUCACGAUUUUGUUUCACAUUUAUUCUAUUCCAUAGUUAAUCAACAUGUUAAUAUUCAGAUUAAGUUCUCAAUUAGUCCUAAUUAACAGCAUUUACUCAGACUAAUAUCACAGUUAACACAAAACAGAAUCAAAAAGGGAUUAGGGUUCGUACACUUGUGGCUAUUGGACUUUACGUGAACGAGCCUUCUUCCUCCUUGAUGUUCAAAUCGGCGACGACGGCGCACGGAAACGGCACCGGAGCUUCACUCCUCUGUUCAAUACUUCCAAUCAAACAAAGGUGUACUCGCGCCGUUCAUCUCUCCGAGCUCAUCGCUCUCGAUAUCAGCCAUGAACAAUCGAAGCAAAUCCGCAUCGCCUUUCGUCUCAAGUCUCUCCGAUGUGUUUCAUCUCCGUCGAGAUCUUCCUCCGCCGCCGUGGACAAAAAUACGUGACUACAUCAUCUCUUCUCUCCCCUUAAGAACUCAGCGCCGCUCGCAAUCUCUCAACCUCUUUCAGACGCGAAUCAAAGCGAGGAAAUCCUGAGAACAAGCUUCAGAUUCCUCAGUUGCGAUGAAGCUUAUAGGAAGACCGAGUUAACCAGGUUCUUGCCGAUUGAAGCGUGAGGAAUCCUUAUGAAUUUUCAGAGUGAAGGUUGAAUGGAUUGAGGCUGAUUCUAUGGUGAUUGGAGAUUGGAGAAGAUUGAUUGAAAGAAGAAGUGUGGAGAAUCGGUGAGGUUGUGGAGAAGCUUGGAUCGAGAGUUUUUCAGAUGAGUUUGAUGAAGGUUCUUGGAGAUUUCUUGCAGACUAAAUCGAAGGUGAAGUUGAUGAAGGUUCCCGAAGAAGAAUUCUGUUAUAUGAAGUUUGUAGUGAAGAAGAUUGAAAGGUUCGAAGAGUUCAUUACCGGUCGAAGAGAAAGAGAUGGUGUAGAGGAUGAAGAUGAGAAUUGGUUCAGAGAGAUGAAGUUUUGUUACGCUUUUUUCAUUUUCUGUUAUUGAAUUUGUGAUUGUUGAAGAAGAUGAAGAAGGUGCAGAGAGGUUGUAGAUUCAGAGAGAAAGUUUGUUACACUUUCAAUUAUCUUCUUUUUUUUUCUCGCAAGUUUUUGAUGUGAGGAUUUGUUAGCUGCAAGUGCGGUUUUAUUCUGAUAGGUGCAGCAGGCUGUUUUGCUUUAUUGUUGCAGGAUAAUUACAGUUACUGGGAGGAGAUAUAUGGCAAGUCCAUUGGAAGGAACUAAACACGAAUGAAGGUACAUGAAGCUGAAGAUGGGUGAAGAUGACCGACCAAGAAUUACAUUCAGAUUAUUGAUCAAAUGUUGUAAUUUUGUAAACAUUCUUUUGGACGAUUUGUAUUGGACUGAUGGAAUGAUGAUGUUGUAUGGAUAUUUUGUAAUGAAUUUGAAGGAGUUUCACCUUUGGACA